AGCGAACGCUGGCGGCAGGCCUAACACAUGCAAGUCGAACGAAGCCUUCGGGCUUAGUGGCGGACGGGUGAGUAACACGUGGGAACGUACCUUUUGGUUCGGAACAACUCAGGGAAACUUGAGCUAAUACCGGAUGAGCCCUUAGGGGGAAAGAUUUAUCGCCGAAAGAGCGGCCCGCGUUAGAUUAGCUAGUUGGUGAGGUAAAGGCUCACCAAGGCUACGAUCUAUAGCUGGUCUGAGAGGAUGAUCAGCCACACUGGGACUGAGACACGGCCCAGACUCCUACGGGAGGCAGCAGUGGGGAAUCUUGCGCAAUGGGCGAAAGCCUGACGCAGCCAUGCCGCGUGAAUGAUGAAGGUCUUAGGAUUGUAAAGCUCUUUCGCACGCGACGAUGAUGACGGUAGCGUGAGAAGAAGCCCCGGCUAACUUCGUGCCAGCAGCCGCUGUAACAC
rnacentral:rRNA from 1 species